AAUCAACGCUGGCGGCGUGCCUCAGACAUGCAAGUCGAACGCGAAAGAGGGGGAAACCCCUUUAGUAGAGUGGCGAACGGGUGAGUAACGCGUGAAGAACCUGCCUUCAACAGGGGGAUAACACUCCCAACGGGGUGCUAAUACCGCAUGAGACCACGGAGCUGCAUGGCUCUGAGGUCAAAGGUGGCCUCUAUUUAUAAGCUACCGGUUGAAGAUGGCUUCGCGUCCCANAGCUAGUUGGCGGUGUAAAAGACCACCAAGGCGACGAUGGGUAGCUGGUCUGAGAGGAUGGUCAGCCACACUGGGACUGAGAUACGGCCCAGACUCCUACGGGAGGCAGCAGUCGAGAGGCUUCGGCAAUGGGGAAACCCUGACCGAGCGACGCCGCGUGGGGGAUGAAGGCCCUUGGGUUGUAAACCCCUUUUGUU
rnacentral:rRNA from 1 species